UGAUUUGGUUAGCCAAUCGGAGCGUUUUGAUUGACCGGCCGGUCGAUUAAAAAACAUUAAGUUCACAAUGGAGGUAGAACAGGAAAACCAAAUUCCCUUCCUAGACGUGUUAGUUCAAAGAAACGGAAUGAUACCUUAGACCAUCGGGUUUACCGAAAAUCAACCCACACUGACCGAUAUCUUCACGCAACCUCCCAUCACCAUCCAUCACAAAGGAAUUCAGUUAUCAGCUCAUUGGUAUACAGAGCCCACACAGUUUCUGAACCAACGUUCCUGGAUGAAGAGUUACAACAUCCUAAUCAAACCUUGACUAGAAAUGGGUACAACAGCAAGAACCUUAAUCAGAUAACCAAGAGAUUGAAGAACAAGAUUUGCAGUCCCAACGACCGAAACUCUGGAUAAAGAAAGAGAAAAGAAAAUAACGGCUGUUCUUCCGUAUCUUCAAGAUACAACAGAGCGCAUAGGCAGAAUUUUGAGAUCAAAGACCAAGCCUGGAAACACCAGGUGUAUACAAGGCACCUUGCGUCUGCGGAAAAGUGUACAUAGGAGAAACUGGGAAAAAGAUCAGUACACGGAUCAAGGAACACCAGAGGUGUACCAAAUACAGCCACUUUUCGCAAUCAACCUUGGCGGAACAUUGGAUGAAGACAUGCCGUGCAGUAUGAUAAGUCUACCAUGUUGGCCUCGUCGUAAGGCUUCGCCAGAAAAUAUCGAGAAGGUCUGGAAAUCUUGAAACAUCCUGACAACCUCAACCGCGACAAAGGCCUUCAAGUAAAUCUUAUUUGGCAUACCAUUCUCCCGGGUUUUUUAAUUGACCGGCCGGUCAAUCAAAACGCUCCGAUUGGCUGACCAAAUCAACCCCCCCACCCCGACCCCCACCGGGCGCAAUGGGGAUAUAUAAGAACCACCACAAUCGAAGGGAGCUCAGUAUCGGAGCUCUCAGUCCUGAUGAUGCAAGCUGUAAUGUUUGCAAAACGUCAGCAAAGUGCCCAACACGCACGUGGCAUCCAUCCGGAAACCCUCUCGGUUAACGAUAUCAAUGGCCACAAAAACCUUAAGAGUGGAAUCUAGCUUGUGAUUUUAGAUUGUAAGAUUUUGGAAAACGUUUCAGACUUUUGUACCUGUUUAUUAUUGGUCGAACUUGAAGGCUGAAUUCCUUUGUUAGAUAAAUAGUUCUAUGUAUGAUAUUCGUGUGUGCUGUCUUUAUUAUUGGAUUCAACUUUCAUUGUUUAUUUCUUUGUGCCUUUAUUCUAGAGUUAGUAAAGAUAUAUUACGUUUCAUCGUUAUAUUCUCUCAGUGUUAAAUUAAACAUCUAGCUCUCGAUUUGACAGGCAUUGUGACAACUUCCUUAGAUGAUGACACGAUCCAAUCCAAUCAAGGGAAUUCUACGUAAAAGUCGUGAUGUAUAUAGUAAUCGUUAAUUAUCAAAAAUCAAUUAGCAGAUUUUUCGGGAUUGAGGCAUGAAGGCCAAAUUCCUUGAGACAAAUAUUAACGCGAUCAGGUUCAAAUACGAUGUUGGGCAUUGUAGUCACAAAACAUGUAAAUAAUGGAGAAUAAUAACCGCGAGAUAUUGGGCGAAUAUUAUUCAACCCAGUGUCGGAAAAUUACUUCGCGUUAAUGCCUUAGGAAUAAUGUUACGGAUUGUAUCUUAAGUUGUUUAGACUGUAUAAAAUUAUUAGCACCUUUUUAUUGGCAGGAGAAACCUGCUUGUCUUUCUUUUUUGAUACUUAUUACUUCGUAUACUAAUUAUUUCAUUAAUAGUUAUAAAAAAAAUAUAUAAAAGAAUAUUAAAAGGAAAAAAAAUAUAAAUAUAUAAUAAUUUACAAUAAAAAUAAAAUAAAAUAAAUAUAUAAAUAAAUAAAUAGAGGGUUAUACGUUGUAUAUACAAUAUAUAUAUAGGUAUUUAAAAUUUAGUUUUCCUGUUUACUCUUUGUACAUACUUUAUAUAUUUAAGUUGGUUUAGGUUGGAAGUUGGAGUAUGUAUUUGGUAAGUCAAUAUGAUAAGGUAAACGAGGGGGGUUAAUAUAAUCUUUGUCUUUUUAAGGAUGCCUUCAUCCGUGUAAUAUAAGGAGAAAAAUAAUUUUGACAGAUUGCAUUUUGCUAUAAUUAAAUAAAUGCUAGUUGAAUUUUAUUAUUAAUUUGAAUUUGGUGCAAUUAUCUUAUAGAGGUCGUGCUUUUGCUAUCGGAGCAAAAUGGGAAAAGGCAAUGGUAAUAAGAAAAGCAGGUUGAGAGAUUUUUCUUCUUCUAAGAACGACGAGUAUAGAAAACUAAUUAAGAAAAGCAAAGUUGUAAGUCCGAUUAAGAUCAGGUUGACUGAAGUCAAUGCGGAUCCUAGCUCGAUUGUCAGAUCAGACAUUAUCAAAGAUUCUGCAAUUUGGAACGAUACAAAUAAAGAUAGUCGUUAUCCUAUCUCUGAUUCGAGUACAACCUUAAUGAUUAAUUGGCAAGAUGUGAUAUCGCUCGAUAACGAAACUAUCAAAGCUGAUAAGAACUGGGCAUCAAUAAAUGAGCUAUUGGUUAACGGAGAGAAUAUUCUCAUACAAGUCACAGCAGAAAUGACUGAGAUUAGUACAGAAAUUCGACCUAACGAUCAACUUAAAAAUACCUUGGUAAUACAAAAUCCCCUGAAGAGAAUUGACAAUAAUUGCUCAAACACCAGUAACGUAGACGUAAAUUAAAGCACGGGAAAUCACUCGCAAAUAGCAAUUGAGAUUAUGGGAUAGGCUAGUUCCAGCAAUGUCGAUGUGAAUAACAAUUUCUUUUUUGACAGGAAGAAAGCUUUAUUUGAACAACAAGCUAAAAAUUUUUAUAGGGACUUUAAUCAUUUCCUCUAUAUUGUUUAUAUUGAGUCAUUCAAUGAGGAUAACAAUUUAGGAAAUAUAUAUCUUGUUAGUAUUGGCAAAAAACUCUUUGAGGCCAAAGUACAAAAUAUUAACAGAAUUAGAAAAAUUUGGCCUUAAAAUUAUAGAGAUUAGUUUUGAUAAGCAAGCAGAUGCUAAUGGUUGUAUCUCAAAUCAGGUCUUUAGAAAUAAUAAUUGGAUUGCAUAUAUUCUAUCCUACAGAGUCAGAAGAAUAGGUGUCAUCCGAAAUAUUAACAAGGAUAUUAGUAUCGAAGAGAUAAAAAAUAAUAUUAAGUUUUAUAAUUCCAAAAUAGAAAUUGGUAAUAUCGAGAGUCUAAAGUAUUGGAAUAAGAACAGUGAAUCUCUCGAAAACUUUUCCUCAAUUAAAAUCGAGUUUCAUUCGAAUUUACUAUCAGAAUUCGCGACACUAUAUUGGGUUAGAUUUAAAAUCACUCCUUUAAUUAAUAGGGUAAAAAAAUGUUCUAAAUGUUUAAGAUGAGAAUACUCUCGUUUCAAUUGUAGAGGGGAUACUAGAUCGGAUAUAAGAAUGUUAAAUAAAAAUAUUGGCAAUUUUAACUCGGAUACAUUGACAGUAUUAAAAUGUAUAAAUUGCAACGGCAACCAUCGAUCCGCAGACACAAUUUGUCCCAUGUUCAAAAAAUUUAAAAUAAUAAUGCAGUUAUGGCUUAUUGCAACAUUAAUCCAAGCUUAAUGUAUUAUCAAAAAUAGACAAAUAAUGGAGUUUUCGGACGUGGAAAGAGCCUGCAAAAGCUUCGCUUACGAAGUUGGGAACGCUAAGAUUAAUUUAGCCGACUUUACAAACGAUAUUAGAAACAGGGAGAAAGUAGGUAGCUUUAGAAGCCAAAAUGAGAAAUUAAAUAUGCUAAAAAAUAAAUUAAGCACAAUGAGAAAAGAUUUAGCCAAGAAACGAAAAAUUAAAUUACAGGUAGGAGACAAAGGUAAUCUCUCAAGCGAAAGAUAUGCUAAAUUUGCCAAUAACAAUCAUAAUUCAGGAAAAAUUAGUGACUCUAAAUCGGUAGGAACGGAUGAUGAUCAUUCGGACAUGGAUAAAAUCCUUACGCCGGGAUUAUCAUCGAGACUAGCAAGAUAUAAAAAUAAAACUUACUCGGUAGAACUAGACAAUAGUAGUGUGAGAUUAACUUCUGAUGAAGAACAGAACCAUGCUUCAGUUAAAACAAGAAAUAGUCAGUGUGACUUAGUAAACCCAGACACCAAAAGCAGUAAAAGUAAGGAUUGGCGGAAAUUAAAGGAAAUCUGCAAGAUUUAAGAAACAAAAUAGGAUAAUUCUAGAUUUAAUGAAUAUUGUCAGAAGAAAAGAGUCCGCACAGGAAAAGGACCUGAAAGAGAUUGAUAGAUUGUUCAAAAUCAAUUGAACUGAAAGUUAUAGAGGACCAAUAGGAUGUGAUAUUCUAAUAUCAUAACUAUAAGGAUUAUUAGAGACUCUACGACUCAAUCUAAUAGCUAACACAAUAAAAAUGUUUCAUUCUGUAUGGAAGUCUAGCAGAUCCAUAAGAAACUUAAAAAUCAAAACAAAAAUGGCGUCUAUUAAAUGCAUUCAAUGGAACUGUAGAGGCGUUAAGAAUAAAUAUAUUGAACUCUCUAACCUAUCCCUACAACUGAACUUAGUAUGCCUGCAGGAGACUUGGCUUCACAGGAAGGAUUUCUUUGAGUUUGACCAAUGUACAGUUUUUAGAGAAGAUCGACCAGACAAUUUUGUGGGCGGUGAGAUAGCAAUAAUUUGCAGAAACCUGCUGGAUCCUAUCACACAUAAUAUAACUGAUCUUACUAGACACUUGGGAAUCAAGGCAACCUAUAUUUCUGUGAAAAAUAAAUCUAUUCCAGAUGGGAAGAUGUAUGUCAUCUCACUAUACAAACCGCCAAGCAUUUGUAUAAAUAAACAAGCAUGGCAAGAUUUGUUUUAUAAACUAAAAUAUCAUAAAAAAUUUAACCUCCUUAUUUGUGGUGAUUUUAAUGCUAUCGGAUGUGGAGUUCCUCGCGGAGCGAUCCGGCGAGCGGAUCACCCUGCGAGGCAAUUAGCGGCUCCGAUCUCUGGGUGGUGAAUGACGGUUUGGCCAGUGUGGCUAUUAGGGCAUCUAUUACCGACUCGCUUGGUAACAUAAGUUACUUAAACCAACACAUCAGCGCUCCGGACGCUGACAAACACGCUUACAAAUAUCGACAAUAUUACAUUAAUGUGAGGAGUGUGGGAAGAACCCAUCGAAAGUGAUCACUUUCCUAUUAAGAUUAACAUUAUUAUUGGCAAUAAUUACAUUUUAUAUAAUGACAGCCAAACUCAGUCGAAAGCAGAAGUAUGUAGGAGGAAAAUGAACCUGAAAAACUUUGUUCUAGAAACUUUUGGUCAGCUUUAGGUGAGCAAGUUUGAGAAUAAAGAGUCAACAUGGAGAAGCCUGAACGGAGCUCAGUUGUAUAACGAAUGGCAUCUUAUUACUAUCAACUGUAUUAUCCGAGCGGGAGGCAUCAUACACAAUGAGAAUGGCAAAACUUUAAUGCACAACCCAUCCACCAAUAGUGUUGAAACUUUAAAUAAAAAAAAUAGCAAUAGAGCCCAUCAUGUAAAUCGUAAUAAGGUUAUUAACAAACCAUGGUAGAAUGAUAUUUGCCAACAGGCCGUGAAUGAAAGAACUAAAUGUUUUAAAAUCUUUUUAAACAACCCGUCUUUUAAACAACCCGAUAAAAUUUAUUAAAAUACAGAGAGGCAUCAAUUGUAACCAGAAAAAUUUUGGCUAAGAGGAAAAGAGAAAAUUUCCAUAAUUUAGUAGAAGAAAUAUUUAAGAUCUCUGGUUCAAAAAAAUUUUGGAAAAAAAUUAAGAGAUUUAAAAAUUGCAAAAUGUUUAGACAGUCAGUGCCAAAUGGAGACAAAUAGAGAAUCACUUAUUGAAAAUUUUAUUAAUGAAUUGGUCUCUCCUGUGGUUUCUAAAGAAAUGAAUGUUUUAAAAGACUCGAGCGGUGGUAGGGGCUUGCCGAGCUUGUUUAGCCAACCAUUCAAUUUUAAAGAGAGUUGAUCAAUCAUAUUAAGGAUGGCAAAUUAAAUGGAAGCCCUGGGGUAGACUUAUUAAAUUAUCGAAUUCUGACAUUUACCUAGGGAAGCUAUUGAAACUUUAUUAAAUAGUUUCAAUAAAAUAAUCUUGAAUAGCUCUUGUCCAGAUUGCUGGAAAGAAUAUUUAAUAAUUUUGAUCCUCAAAAGUUGGAAAAAAGGCUUUAGGCCAAUUUCCUUAGAACCUUGUACUUUAAAAUUAUUUGAAAAAUUAAUUUAAACCAGAAUUAAAAGAUUUAUCGAACUAAAUGCCUUAAUCUCCAAGCGUCAAUUUGGUUUUCACAAAAGUAAAUCCUGCGAUAAUUGUCUUGCUCUAAUCAAUCUAGAAAUUUACAAAGUUUUUAUGACGGGUAAUGUAACUGGCGGGCUCUUUCUUUAUAUAAAAUCUGCAUACGAUAAUAUUAAUUCUAAAAUUCUUUUUGAUAGGAUUAACGGAAUGAGGACCCCGAUUGGCUAUAAAUUUUUUUUUAGAAAUUUUUUGGGACUCAGGAGGGUCUCCUUUUUUGAGAAAUGUUAACCACAUUUUCUGGACAUGCCCAUUGUUAAAAAAUAGUAGAAAAAUACUCAUGAAUAAUUUAAGGAAAAGAGGCUUACAGGAACCUAUAGUAUAUCAGUGAAAUAUGUGUUUGGCAUCUUAAAAGAUAAAAAAAGCAAAAUUGUUAAUGCAUUUAAAAACUUUAUUACUAAAAUUAAUGAAUUGUUUAUAAAUGAUAAGGUAUUAGCGUAAUUCGGUAUAAAAUAAAAAGCUUUUGCAUGAUUAAAUUAAAUAGGAUAUCUUAUACUAAUUAUUGCCAAGUGCUCCUUGGAGGUUUUUUGAUUCUCAGAUCCUGUGGGAAGUAUCGAAGUAUCCCAGGUGGCUCCAUAAGCAAGAAGUGAGAAGGAAAGAAGAAAGAAAAAUAUAUAUAAAGAGAAUAGAAGAGGGGAGAAAGAAGAAGAAGUAAUUUAAUACUUAAUAAGUAUUAAAAAAAAGGGAGGAGAAAAAAUUCCUGACUUUAACGAUAAGGGUGUAAUAUUCUCAGAUAACUGAAGUUAAAAAUUAUAACAAUAGAAACGUGGAAGUACAUAUCAGAAUCUGGGCCAGAGUUCUGGGUGACUGUGUUGUAGGAUAUGGUAUUAUAGCUAUCGCUGAUAGCGGAAAUCCAUUGGCCUCCUAAAGGAAGGAAGGACUCCUGAGAAGGGCCGCCGCGACGCGGCCGCCUAGCGGCGGCGCCUGUAUUAUUUGCUGCGUGAGGCCUUAUUCACACGACAGGGCCGCCUAGUGGCGCCGCGUGUAUUCACUUAUUGCGUCCGACGCGUAUACUGUGGUGGUCUUUGCCCGAGCCGUUACACUCUUUUAUUUUGGCAUCACUGAUUGAUGGGAGUUUUCUUUCAACUAAAGGAAAUCUGAAACUUCUUUACACAUUGCCUUGACGAAAGUUUUUCAUUAAGCCCAACUUUGUAUGUAAUGGUGGUAAUAUAAUAUUUUCUGAUUGAACUAAUGAUUUACUUAAAACGUUUUUUUACCUCUGAUUUUAAUUUUUUCCUCAUAGGCUAAUUUUUUACUUCGUAAUGUUUGUCUGUCAUGAUUAUCCCUUUCGUAGAAAAAAUAUCAGUACUUUAAAUAGCUGUAAUCCAAUGGUUAUAGCUAUAACCUUGAGAUUUGCACAAAUACGCCACUGAUGUUGUUCGUAAUUAAUGUAUGUUAAAAGAAACUUCAUAUUGUCAUAAGUUUUGUAUUAACAGCGUGUCCAAUCGAAACAGAUGAGUAGGUGUUUCCAUUAAGAAGAAGACUUUCAAACUAGUUUUUGAUACAUCUUUAAAUAAUCACCAAACAUGACGUUUAUGCUUCUGUCCUUAUAUUUCCUCCAUCAAACUGUUGACAGUUACAGUAUACGUUACAGUAUAGCAAUUGUCAAUCUUUAAAAAAAUGGUUUUAAAUUGUUUGCGCGUUUCCUAGCGUACGUAACUGUACUCUUCUGAAGUAACUUCCCUUGUUGAAGCCUGGAACCUAGUAAUUUACUUUAUAUUUGAUAAAUUUGAGAUCUCGACAAAGAUUGAUAAGUUUUUUUUUAUUUAUGAUAUAUGGUUUGUAAGUUGGAAGUUUCAACAACUAAAACAUUCAUUAUUCUGUUCAUUACUUUUAAGUGUAAAAAUUGAAGUUAUAUACUCUAAAGAUAAUUUUGGUACUAUCAGUUGUGGAGUAUGACCUUUAGGACAAGCGACGGAAGAGAUUGAGGUUUUCUACCUUGCAUUUAAAAUAUAACUGAUAUAUCAUUUGCACAUGAUCGGUAAUGCAUACUUUUGAGACUGAAACAUAUAUUUUCCACACAUGUAAUAAAAUAAAUUAGGAUUAUUUUUACAAGUGCAAGGCAUUUUGUAUCAAUAUGGAAAAAUUGAAGCUACAAGAGUAAUACAAAAUAAAAAUACUUAAGUUUAAAAUAUUGUAUGUUGUGGUCAGAAUGUAUUAGUAAAAUUAAUUAACAAACUUCUAAGAAAACUGAAAAAUACUUUAGUUCGUAGUAAAUAGAAAUUUACUUGUAAAAUGGAAAAAAUUUUGAAAUGCAGAAACAAAUUGAAAAUCAUAAAAUGAAUAAAAAACUGUAUAAAAUCAACAAUUUGAAAGUUUAUAUAAUACAAUUUUUGACAAAAUGAUCGAAAACUAUCUAGUUUUCAUAAGAAGUCCUCUUUAUUUGAAAAGAUUUCUAAUAAUUGUUCUUUUGCAAAUCAUGAAAUAAAUAAUGCGUUGUAAACAUUGUUAAGAAAGUCUUUGAUUCCUUUUCAGAUUCUCUUGAUAUUUUUUUAUAUGCAAUACGCUAUGGCAGUAAAGAUAUAUCACGUGAUUCACAGUUCACCUAUUCAAGGGGUACCCAACCAGUCGAUCGCGAUCUACCGGACGAUCGCAACAUUUUUUUGGUAGAUCUUUCUUUUUUCUUUAAUUACGUCUAUUUAAAAUUAUAAUUUUAUUUUAUUGCAAUCAAAUAAAUUUCAAAAAAUUGCUAAAUCUCACAAUGUCAAAGGUCUCAUUAAUAUUUGCAUUACUUUUUACUUUUCUUAAAUUUUAUUAUAUGUUUAUAUUUUAAUUUUUAUUUUAUUGGAAUUCUAUUAUAAAAUUUAUAAUUUUAAUAUUAAUUUUUUUUUUACUAAUUUGUUCAUAGUUUUAACACAUAUCUCUAUUAAUACGUUUAAUAAACGGUUAAAUCAUAUUUUAAUUUUGUAUUUUUUUUCUUACAUUUUACACAUACAUAGAUAGAUC